GAUGAACGCUGGCGGCGUGCCUAAUACAUGCAAGUCGAGCGAACGGACGAGAAGCUUGCUUCUCUGAUGUUAGCGGCGGACGGGUGAGUAACACGUGGAUAACCUACCUAUAAGACUGGGAUAACUUCGGGAAACCGGAGCUAAUACCGGAUAAUAUUUUGAACCGCAUGGUUCAAAAGUGAAAGACGGUCUUGCUGUCACUUAUAGAUGGAUCCGCGCUGCAUUAGCUAGUUGGUAAGGUAACGGCUUACCAAGGCAACGAUGCAUAGCCGACCUGAGAGGGUGAUCGGCCACACUGGAACUUAGACGCGGUCCAGACUCCUACGGGAGGCAGCAGUAGGGAAUCUUCCGCAAUGGGCGAAAGCCUGACGGAGCAACGCCGCGUGAGUGAUGAAGGUCUUCGGAUCGUAAAACUCUGUUAUUAGGGAAGAACAUAUGUGUAAGUAACUGUGCACAUCUUGACGGUACCUAAUCAGAAAGCCACGGCUAACUACGUG
rnacentral:rRNA from 1 species